GAUGAACGCUAGCGGCAGGCCUAACACAUGCAAGUCGAGGGGGAAGUUACUUUCGGGUGACUGAGACCGGCGUACGGGUGCGUAACGCGUAUACAAUCUGCCUUUCACUGGGGGAUAGCCCGAAGAAAUUUGGAUUAAUACCCCAUAGUAUAUAGGGACGGCAUCGUUUUUAUAUUAAAGCUUAGGUGGUGAAAGAUGAGUAUGCGUUCUAUUAGCUAGUUGGAGAGGUAACGGCUCCCCAAGGCGAUGAUAGAUAGGGGUUCUGAGAGGGAUGUCCCCCACACUGGUACUGAGAUACGGACCAGACUCCUACGGGAGGCAGCAGUGAGGAAUAUUGGACAAUGGUCGGAAGACUGAUCCAGCCAUGCCGCGUGCAGGAUGAAGGUCUUAUGGAUUGUAAACUACUUUUGUAAGGGAAGAAUAAGGGCUACGCGUAGUUUGAUGACGGUACCUUACGAAUAAGCAUCGGCUAACUCCGUG
rnacentral:rRNA from 1 species